AUGAGAAAGCCUUCUUAAACUGGGGCCACUCUGUGUCAUGAACCAAAUAGUAGAGAUGUACUAAGAUUUCUCAAUUAUAAAUAGAUCUCAACUCUGCAAAAGGUCCAAUAAUCCAAACCUUUGCAGAAGAAGACCAUUCAGCCUGAGCAGCAGAAUACUCCAACUUAGCAUCCAAAAUCUCUUCGAAAACAAAAUGGAAGAUAAAGGAUUAAGCACUAAUAUGAGGAGAAUCCUCCUAUUGAUAAACU
rnacentral:lncRNA from 1 species